GAACUACAGGAGCUUUGGUUCUUACAGUGAGCUGAGAAAAUAAGAAAAGGACAAUUAUGCUGUUGGGAAGGAAUGCAUGUUUUUCCACUGUGUUAAAAGGAUAAGAGGAAAAACCUUCAUUAGAAGCACUCGUGCAGUAUAAUCGACAUAGCUGCAUGGAAGAGAGAUGAACAGGGAGAAUGCAAAGAAAGGGUAAUAUAAGGGGGGGAAAUGACUGAAAAAUAAGUAAUUUAAGGAGAAUGAUGACAUCAGUUGCCACUUGGAGAAAGAGACUACAAUUUAUAUACGUUCUGUGUAUCUCCGUGUCUUCUCUUUGGCACUUCAAAUGGACAUGGCAGAAGUAGUUGAUCUCCUUUCCAACCAUCUGCAUCCACAACCAUGAGCACUUCUGGAAGAGGACAGAG